ACACUGCCUCGGCAUGGCUUGAUGAGCAGUGCUAGGUCUGCGCCCAGGAUAUGAACCCAUGAACCCUGGGCUACAAAAGUGGAGCGUGGGAACUUAACCACUGGGCCACAGCCCAGCCCCCUUCAGGUGUAUUCUUGUUUGCCGGAGAUAGUUUAGUAUAGUGGAAAAAAGUAUUGGACGAGGAGUCAGCAUAUCUGAGUUUAGACCCAGCUUCUAGGACACUUUUGUGGAUAUUAAAUUACUCUGGUACUGUGUAAUUUAGAGCAAUCCCUUAAUCUGUCGGUGCCAAUCUUCCCCUUCUCCUCACUGGGAAUAAGAAUUUCUCUCUUUUCACCAUGUAAGAUAACAUUGAUAAAGUAAGGUGAAAAUACUUUGAAAAUGGAAACAAUUGUACAAAUUAAACGUGUAUUUUUUGCAUAAGUCAGCAUAUGAAUAUAAGAAUUUACAAAUGAGUCAUAGAUAAUAACACUAUAAAUUUCAACAUAAGAUUUGUUUACUUCCUGAGUACAUGCGAAGUAAUACAUUUAAAAAUAAAAUACAUACAAUUUCCAAUGAUUAUAUACUCAUUGAAUACUGACUUUGUGUUUAGCAAUGUUCGGUUUGCUCAAGCAAAAUCAGAUGUAUGGCAGGAUAAAUCUGAUAAAGGAACUAAUAUUUGAUGAGCAUUUAUAUAUGCCCAGCGCUUUGCUUAUAUCAUCUCAUCUAAUUUUCACAACAACUCUAUGAAGUACAUCUUGUUACCCCAUUUUUCCAGUGAAGAUUCUGAGGCUCAAAAGUGAGUUAAUUGACCUACAUCACAGCUAGUAAAUGAGAGAGGGUAUUUACACCAAGGCUUUAUUGAGCUUAAAAGCCUGAGCUCUUGGCAUUGUAUGAUGAUGGCACCCUCUUGAUGCUGAAGAUGCUUAUAAUCUAACUUAAGAAACAAGAUGAACACAAUGAUCAGCAAUCAUUAAUAUUAAAAAAGCUGAAUUAAUGGCAUAAAGCAAGUGCUAGAAAAGUUUAGAAAGACAGAGUUAAGUGAGUUAAGGCAGUAAGGGAAGACUUCGUGAAGGAAGGGGACCUUAAGUCGGGUCUUGAAGUACAAAAAUGCAUUUGGAUAGCGGAAAGGGAGACAACACUGGGCGAAGAUACAGAGGCUAACGAGCAGGGCUGUCUGUGGAGAUGGACCACUCAGGAGGUCAAAGAAGAACCUUCUUUUUUCUAAGGCUACAACUUGUGUGCAAAAGGCGCUGGCUGGAGGAGAUUUGAUUUACCCUCUGAGGACUUCAAAGGAAUCUGAACCAAACCCGAUACUCAAGUCUCUUAUCCAGUGUGCCUGGAGUGAGGAUGUGGCAUUCCUGAUCCACAGUGGCAGCCUUCCCUUUUGACUCUCUUUACUCCUCUGGACCCUGUAAUUGGGAUGCAGUCAUGAUUUUCUGGUUUGCAUUCUAAUUCCCAUGCUAGGUCCAGAACCCUGCCUUGAAUACCCACCCAUUUAGCUGGACUUCUCCCUUAGUUCUUAUCCAGG